rnacentral:rRNA from 1 species
GAUGAACGCUGGCGGCGUGCCUAAUACAUGCAAGUCGAGCGAACAGAUGAGGAGCUUGCUCCUCUGACGUUAGCGGCGGACGGGUGAGUAACACGUGGAUAACCUACCUAUAAGACUGGGAUAACUUCGGGAAACCGGAGCUAAUACCGGAUAAUAUAUUGAACCGCAUGGUUCAAUAGUGAAAGACGGUUUUGCUGUCACUUAUAGAUGGAUCCGCGCCGCAUUAGCUAGUUGGUAAGGUAACGGCUUACCAAGGCAACGAUGCGUAGCCGACCUGAGAGGGUGAUCGGCCGCACUGGAACUGAGACACGGUCCAGACUCCUACGGGAGGCAGCAGUAGGGAAUCUUCCGCAAUGGGCGAAAGCCUGACGGAGCAACGCCGCGUGAGUGAUGAAGGUCUUCGGAUCGUAAAACUCUGUUAUUGGGGAAGAACAAAUGUGUAAGUAACUAUGCACGUCUUGACGGUACCUAAUCAGAAAGCCACGGCUAACUACGUG